GGACCCUGCUCCUGAUCCCACCACUCAGCACUGGUGCUGCCCCGCGUCCUCCUCCUACCUGCUUCUUGUGGGCAGGCAUGUUUUGUUAUGGCUCUGCAGUUCCCAGCCUGGCUUCGACCUCACCCAACUAAAGGCAGCAGCAGCAGCAGCCGGGCUCACCAUCCAUCUUGGAGCUGAACACCAGAUGGGACCUGAUAGAUUGUCCUUGAUGGGCCAUGUUCUUGUGUGUGAUGGAGCUGUGUGCCAGAGAGGGCCAGGAGCAGAUGCACCACGCAUGGCCAGGACCAGGCUAAACAGCCUGUAAUGCUAGAUAUUCAGCCAAUGAGGCCAGUUUGCAGAAUGUGGAAGAGCCGUUUGGCGAUGGGUUGGAGGAUUCACCAUGUAGGUGGCAGCAGCUGCAGUGCCUGGUCUCCAUGGGCCAAACUUCCACUCCUGACACUCCAGGCUAAUCUCCCACUGCUGUCAGUGGGGCUUUGGCUUUAGCUGCUGGGCCUGCGUGCCUAGACAGAGGACUCAGGUAUUUCCAUCAGGCUGCUCAAUGGCAAAUGCAGCCAUCCACAGAAGUGAAGAAGAAUGGAAGGGUAAGAGCAAAUCUGGACCAUCCGCUGAGCUGCUGCAAUCAAGUGAGCAGAACCAGGGAGAGAAGAGGGAGAACUCAAAGGUGGCUGGCGACAGUAGGGAGGAAAAGCAGUUUGGGAGCCAGGAGAAUAGAAAUUGUUAAUGAUGAAUACUGCGGGCUUUGUCCUGUGUAGUGAAGGGUUGAAAAUGGGUCUCUUUACUAUGACUCUAAACUUUAAAAUGGCUGUGUAUGAUGAAAGGGCAGGUCUAUAAAGGUUAGGGUGACCAGACGUCCCGAUAUUAUCGGGACAGUCCCAAUUUUAACACAUUUGUUUGGCGUCCCGACCGCACAUCAGUUGGGACGCCCUUUGUCCCGAUAUCGGGGACCGCUCCUCAUCACCACCAAAGUCCAGGGGCUGGUGUGGCGGCACUUCCUGGGGCAGCUCCCAGUGGCACGCCCACCCGCCAGCAGGAAUCUGCAGUGCUGGCUGCCCCUAGGCACACAGGCGGAGGGGGUCUUCACGUGCUGCACUAGCUCCUUUCUACCCAAUCAGAGCUGUGGGGGUGGGGCUUGCAGGCGCCGGCAACAGGCAGAGAACCCUCCGCCCCCCCACCCCCCACAACCUGACCCUAGGAGCCAGAGGGACCUGCUGGAUGCUUUCCAGGAGCCGCCCCAGCUAAGCACUGCCUGGACUCCCCACCUCACCCCCCUGGCAGGUCCCUCUGGCUCUUAGGGUUGGGGCCCCGUUCAUGGCGCAGAGCGCCAGAGAGCGCUGCCCUGGGCUCCCGCCAUCCAGGGAAGCGCAGCGAGCCGGCGCGGCUGCGAGCUGGGGGGGAAGCCCGCCCCGAAGUGGCAGCACAGAGCCACAGGGGGAGCCACUGCCGCUGCCUGGCUCCGGCCAGCUGAAGGGGCCCCCGGCAUCGCACCACCCCACAGACUGCAUAGCUCCGCUCCCCACUCACCGCGCGGACAGCUCCCUGCAGUGCGUGGGCUCCGUUCAGUGCCAGGCAUUGCACGCUCCAGGGUGGUAAAUAGCUCCCCGGCCCCCACCAUGCCUCCCCCACGAGGCCUCCCAACCUCUCUACUGCCGUAUCUGGGUUGCAGCCCACACGCACUAAGGAGGAGGUGAUGGACUUACCCCAAAAGUGGGUGUGGGAAGAAGCAGCGUGAAGAGGUGAUCAGAGAGCCAUCCCAUAGCAUUCUCCUACAGUCACUCCAACAACCACCUGGCUCCUUCCUGCCGUAGGCCGCAGCCCCUAGGUUCCAUAGGGAAUUUCUGAAUUAACCCUCUAGAAAGCUGCCUCUGGUGCUCUACAAGCUCUCACGCAGCCCUGUCACGAGAGGUAAGGAAUAAGGUCCUGCCUCCCCCAACUGCUCAGAGGAAUCCUCUCAGAGAAAUCAGUGCAGGACUUUAUGCAUCUCUACAAACAGAUCACUUUGCGUGGUGUUGUCAAGAAGCUGCACACCCCUUGGCAGCUCUUUUUAGAGCAACGUUAACUCCCACAGGGAUUUCUGCUCUAAAUGCUCCGGGCCUGAGGGAAGGAAUCUGUGGAAAACAGGCCUUUCCCUUGUUCCAAUCCAGGCUCUGCUGUUCUGAUGCUGCAGAGCUGAUAGGGAAGGCUUGAGGGUUCCUGGUGAGCAUGCUGCAAGGCCAGCAAUCCCAUGCUGCAACGCCACCAAUCCCAUUCUGCAACACCGCCAAUCCCAUGCUGCCUCAGCCCUGGGGACACGUCCUCUUUCUCCCCCGGCACCUUCCAGUGGAGGGAAGAAAGGGAGACGUGAGAUGGAGUCUCUCCCUGGCUUACAGAUAACCCAUCCUGCAGUAACACAAGUGUGGACGCAGGGGAAUGUUGUGCUGCAGUGUAUGUGCCCUGCAAGAUAUCACUCAUGAAGGGAAGCAACACUGCUCUUGGCACUGGCAUCUGGGCAAUAAGGAAGAGGAGUUGGAAAUUCUCCCUGGGGAGGGGAAAUGGGGAAACCCAGUGGGACAAUGUGUGUGACUGGAAUGUCAGUGUCGCUGGUUACAAUCCACUGAGGUAGGGGAGAAAGGGUAAAAGUGGUGGGCAGGGUGGCACUUUACAUUAGACCAGCGGUUCUCAAACUGUGGGUUGCAACCCCAUUUUAAUGGGGUCACCAGGGCUGGCUUAGACUUGCUGGGGUCUGAGUGCAAUGAAGUUUGAGAACCCCGGCAUCAGACACAUCAUUACCUGUUUUACCUGUUUUACAUUCUUGGUCAUUGAGAACCCCAGGACCUCGAAUGGACAGAGAUCAAUCUGCUACUAACACAGCCCAGCAGCGGAACCGGUAGGGGGUUGGCACAGUUCACUGAAUCCAAACCAGAGAGCAGGAAAUGUUUCUCCUUUUGCACCUGUCUGUGACUUGUGGGAAGAAAUGAGGUUAGCACCGGGGACUUCCUAUUGGGAGACAGAUGGGGGAGGUCUCACGUAGCCAGGAGUAAAUCAUCCUUGAAGAUUUUGAAAAAUUAUAGAUACUUUUCUAAUACAAAGUUUUGUACCCAACUAUGGGUGACUCUAUUGUGGGCCUCCUUGUGGUGGAUAAAGAUGAACUGAUCACUGGACUGGAUGUUUGUGGUUGCUCUGGGGCCACUGAUCAUGACUUGACUGUAUUCAGUAAGGACCAGUAAGGAGGUUUGGGAACAAAUUGAUAAAUUAAACAGCAAUAAGUCACCAGAACCAGAUGAUAUUCGCCCAAGAGUUCGGAAGAAAAUUGCAGAACUACUAACUGUGGUUUGUAACCUGUCCUUUAAAUCAGCUUCUGUACCAGAUGACUGGAGGAUAGCUAAUAUGACAUCAAUGUUUUUAAAAGGCUCCAGAGACGGUCCCAGCAAUUACAGGCCAGGUUUAGUGGGUUACAGAUUGUUGUAGUGAGCCAUAAAUCCAGUGUCUAUAUUAAUGAGCAUUGCAGUCACACCAUUGCAUUAGUCAUGACUCAGCUGGAUGGGGAACCUCCCGGGGAAACUCAUGUCCUCAACAGUUAGUCCUGUGCUGAUCAGUGGUAAGCUGGAGCUGGUUCGCACCGGUUCGCAAGAACCGGUUGCUAAAAUUAGACGCCGGUGGAGAACCGGCUGUUAAAGGGCCAGGCGGGUAGGCAAACGACUCCGGUCUAUGGGCCACAUCCGGCCCGCGGGACCGUCCUGUCCCGCACCUGAGCUCCCAGGAGUCCCAGCUG